rnacentral:rRNA from 1 species
AUUGAACGCUGGCGGCAGGCCUAACACAUGCAAGUCGAACGAGUGGCGGACGGGUGAGUAAUGUAUGGGAAACUGCCCGAAGGAGGGGGAUAACUACUGGAAACGGUAGCUAAUACCGCAUACCAUCUGAUGUGCCCAGAUGGGAGUAGCUAGUAGGUGGGGUAACGGCUCACCUAGGCGACGAUCCCUAGCUGGCCUGAGAGGCUGACCAGCCACACUGGAACUGAGACACUGUCCAGACUCCGACGGGAGGCAGCAGUGGGGAAUAUUGCACAAUGGGCGCAAGCCUGAUGCAGCCAUGCCGCGGGUAUGAAGAAGGCCUUCGGGUUGUAAAGUACUUUCAGCGAGGAGGCGUUACUCGCAGAAGAAGCACCGGCUAACUCCGUGCCAGCAGCCGCGGUAAUAC